rnacentral:rRNA from 1 species
AGAGUUUGAUCAUGGCUCAGAUUGAACGCUGGCGGCAGGCUUAACACAUGCAAGUCGAGCGGGGGAAGGUAGCUUGCUACUGGACCUAGCGGCGGACGGGUGAGUAAUGCUUAGGAAUCUGCCUAUUAGUGGGGGACAACAUCUCGAAAGGGAUGCUAAUACCGCAUACGUCCUACGGGAGAAAGCAGGGGAUCUUCGGACCUUGCGCUAAUAGAUGAGCCUAAGUCGGAUUAGCUAGUUGGUGGGGUAAAGGCCUACCAAGGCGACGAUCUGUAGCGGGUCUGAGAGGAUGAUCCGCCACACUGGGACUGAGACACGGCCCAGACUCCUACGGGAGGCAGCAGUGGGGAAUAUUGGACAAUGGGGGGAACCCUGAUCCAGCCAUGCCGCGUGUGUGAAGAAGGCCUUAUGGUUGUAAAGCACUUUAAGCGAGGAGGAGGCUACUUUAGUUAAUACCUAGAGAUAGUGGACGUUACUCGCAGAAUAAGCACCGGCUAACUCUGUGCCAGCAGCCGCGGUAAUACAGAGGGUGCGAGCGUUAAUCGGAUUUACUGGGCGUAAAGCGUGCGUAGGCGGCUUAUUAAGUCGGAUGUGAAAUCCCCGAGCUUAACUUGGGAAUUGCAUUCGAUACUGGUGAGCUAGAGUAUGGGAGAGGAUGGUAGAAUUCCAGGUGUAGCGGUGAAAUGCGUAGAGAUCUGGAGGAAUACCGAUGGCGAAGGCAGCCAUCUGGCCUAAUACUGACGCUGAGGUACGAAAGCAUGGGGAGCAAACAGGAUUAGAUACCCUGGUAGUCCAUGCCGUAAACGAUGUCUACUAGCCGUUGGGGCCUUUGAGGCUUUAGUGGCGCAGCUAACGCGAUAAGUAGACCGCCUGGGGAGUACGGUCGCAAGACUAAAACUCAAAUGAAUUGACGGGGGCCCGCACAAGCGGUGGAGCAUGUGGUUUAAUUCGAUGCAACGCGAAGAACCUUACCUGGCCUUGACAUACUAGAAACUUUCCAGAGAUGGAUUGGUGCCUUCGGGAAUCUAGAUACAGGUGCUGCAUGGCUGUCGUCAGCUCGUG